rnacentral:rRNA from 3 species
CAUCCUCCAAGGCUAAAUACUCCUGACUGACCGAUAGUGAACCAGUACCGUGAGGGAAAGGCGAAAAGAACCCCGGCGAGGGGAGUGAAAAAGAACCUGAAACCGUGUACGUACAAGCAGUGGGAGCACCCUUUGGGGUGUGACUGCGUACCUUUUGUAUAAUGGGUCAGCGACUUAUAUUCUGUAGCAAGGUUAACCGAAUAGGGGAGCCGGAGGGAAACCGAGUCUUAAUUGGGCGUUAAGUUGCAGGGUAUAGACCCGAAACCCGGUGAUCUAGCCAUGGGCAGGUUGAAGGUUGGGUAACACUAACUGGAGGACCGAACCGACUAAUGUUGAAAAAUUAGCGGAUGACCUGUGGCU